rnacentral:rRNA from 1 species
CAGUCGCCACGGUAAUACGAAGGGUGCAAGCGUUAAUCGGAAUUACUGGGCGUAAAGCGUGCGUAGGCGGUUUGUUAAGUCUGUUGUGAAAUCCCCGGGCUCAACCUGGGAAUGGCAAUGGAUACUGGCAAGCUAGAGUGUGUCAGAGGAUGGUGGAAUUCCCGGUGUAGCGGUGAAAUGCGUAGAGAUCGGGAGGAACAUCAGUGGCGAAGGCGGCCAUCUGGGACAACAUUGACGCUGAGGCACGAAAGCGUGGGGAGCAAACAGGAUUAGAUACCCCUGUAGUCCCUGUCUCUUAUAC